UACCCUAACCGUGCAAAGGUAGCACAAUCACUUGCCCCUUAAAUGAGGGCUGGUAUGAACGGUUUAAUGAGGGUUUAACUGUCUUCGAGGACCAAUCAAUGAACCUGAUAACCCAGUACAAACGCUGAAAUACACCCAUAAGACAAGAAGACCCUGUGGAACUUUAAGUCUACCGCUGACCCUAGUUUUAAGCUAGGCCCCCAGCACAAAACUUAAGUUGGGGCAACUGCGGGGCAAAACAAAACCCCCAUGAAAAUAAUUAACCAUUAUACACUAGGCCCACACGCCGCACACUGUUCGACCCAGUCCACACUGAUCACCGAACCAAGCUACCCCAGGGAUAACAGCGCUAUCCCCUUAAAGAGUCCAUAUCGCCAGGGGGGUUUACGACCUCGAUGUUGGAUCAGGACACCCAGGCGGUGUAGCCGCUGCCAAAGGUUCGUUUGUUCAACGAAUAAAGUCCU
rnacentral:rRNA from 1 species